AAACAGAUGAUGGUUGCAUACAUAGUUCAACAGAUUGAAGCAUGAAGAGAUAUACUGUUUAACGUAUCU